GUCCACGCUGUAAACGAUGAGCACUAGGUGUCGCGGGUAUUGACCCCUGCGGUGCCGACGCUAACGCAUUAAGUGCUCCGCCUGGGGACUACGGCCGCAAGGUUAAAACUCAAAGGAAUUGACGGGGGCCCGCACAAGCGGUGGAGCAUGUGGUUCAAUUCGACGCAACGCGAAGAACCUUACCUGGGCUAGACGACGGAGGACAGCCCCCAGAGAUGGGGUCUUCCCUUCGGGGACUUCCGGUUCAGGUGCUGCAUGGCUGUCGU
rnacentral:rRNA from 1 species